rnacentral:rRNA from 1 species
GUAGUCUCGCACAGAUGCAUAUCAAUAAGCGGAGGAAAAGAAACUAACAAGGAUUCCCUCAGUAACGGCGAGUGAAGCGGGAAGAGCUCAAAUUUGAAAUCUUGAAAGGUCACCUUUCACGAAUUGUAGUUUAAAGAAGUGUUUUCUGUUACGAUCGUAAUAUAAGUUCUUUGGAAUAGGACAUCACAGAGGGUGAGAAUCCCGUCUAUGAUUGCGAUUUGUAGCUUUGUGAUACACUUUCAAAGAGUCGGGUUGUUUGGGAAUGCAGCCCAAAACGGGAGGUAAAUUUCUUCUAAGGCUAAAUAUUGGCGAGAGACCGAUAGCGAACAAGUACCGUGAGGGAAAGAUGAAAAGAACUUUGAAAAGAGAGUUAAACAGUACGUGAAAUUGUCAAAAGGGAAGCGUUCGACACCAGUGUUGUUUUCUCGAAAAUCAAUUAAAAAUGGCUCGAUUUUGUAUUGCUGAGACCUUAAAAGCUCACUGUACAUUUUUCGUGUCUUUUUUAAUGCACUUUUCGUUUAACAAGUCAACAUCAGUUUCUUUUGUUGUAAAAGGGUCAUUGGAAGGUGGCUUUCUUUUCGGAGAAAGUGUUUAUAGCCUUUGGCCUCUGCAAUCGGAGAGACUGAGGUCUGCAGCGUAGACUCUUCGGGGUUAGAUACAUUUGUGCUAAGUUAUAGCUUUUUAUAGACAACUUGUUGACUAUAAUUAGUCUUGUAGCUUACUCGCUUAUGCUAUUUUACCUACGCUUAGGAUGUUGAGUCGUAGAGCACGCAG